rnacentral:tRNA from 1 species
GGGCGAGUGGCGGAACUGCUAUACGCACAAGACUUAAAAUCUUGGGCCCGCAAGGGAUUGAGGGUUGGAAUCCCUCCUCGCCCA